UCACUGGUAGUCCAGUGGUUAGGACUCCAUGUUUCCACGGCAUGGGGCCUGGGUUCGAUCCCUAGCUGGGGAA
rnacentral:tRNA from 1 species